GGCGACAUGGCCGAGUGGUCUAAGGCGCCGUCUUAAGGAGGUCCCUGGGACGUUCUAAUAUGUCCGAGCGGUGAUCCGGCGGUCUUCGGGCGUGGGUUCGAAUCCCACUGUCGUCA
rnacentral:tRNA from 1 species